UACGUAGGGUGCAAGCGUUGUCCGGAAUUAUUGGGCGUAAAGGGCUCGUAGGCGGUUUGUCGCGUCGGGAGUGAAAACACCGGGCUUAACUCGGUGCUUGCUUUCGAUACGGGCAGACUAGAGGUAUGCAGGGGAGAACGGAAUUCCUGGUGUAGCGGUGAAAUGCGCAGAUAUCAGGAGGAACACCGGUGGCGAAGGCGGUUCUCUGGGCAUUACCUGACGCUGAGGAGCGAAAGUGUGGGGAGCGAACAGG
rnacentral:rRNA from 1 species